rnacentral:pre_miRNA from 1 species
UCUCUUGGAUGAGCACAGAAAGUAGUUUCUUGAGUUGGAAUCUACUUCUGGUGAAGAUGCUAUGAA